CCUGAUAUUGCUUAAAAGUAAAGUAUGAGAUAUCUGCAUUUGAUACCGAUAAAUAUGAAAUGGUUUGCACUGGUAGCAGGAAACUGUCUGAACUUUUAUACAUAGUUAUGGACCCUAGGUUAAUUGUCACUGCUCGUGGGAUCUUGAGACCCACAGUACUUCUGUCAGGCCAUCAGCUCUGUGUUCAGGAGUGAUUUAAAGAGAGCAGAUAAAGUCCUAUGAAAUGCUAUGAAAAAAAUAAAGAAUAAGAUACAGAACAUUAUUAUGCCUUGUCUUAAUCUGUGGUUUGUCCAUGCAUUAGAUACUAUUUCAUCUCCCUUUUGUAUGAAGAUGCAGGGCAGCUAGAGGAAAUGUGGGGAAAAUUGGCAUGAGUCGAUAGAGACCUGGAAUGGCUUCUAUGUGAUAUGUUCCAUGUGACUGGGAAAGAUGUGGUUGAGGAAUGAUGUCACAGAGGUCCAUGAAAUUGUGCCUGGCUUGAAGAGAGUUUGGCUAUUUCAUCUGCAGUGUGUAAGAGAUAAGCUUUGAAGGAGUCAGGUUCAUCCUGGCAGGAGGAAGUCAUUCUUCAUGCGCCUAGAACAUUCUGUUGUGGGAAGACAGUUGAAGCCCCUCGAAAAGGCUGUGAUCUUCAGGACCUUCUAUUUCAUUGGAUAAGUAGCAAAAAAAAGGCUGCUACCCAAAAUGAAAGAGAUCUGCUUUUAGUUGGAGUUCUCCUGCAGAAGAUCUGGGAAGACAGCUGGUCAUCCUUGCUCCAUUUCUCUGAAAUUUUCUUUCCCUUGAUUGAGGACUAAAAACUAACCAUCAUUCAGAACACAAGACUCACCACAGACUAAGACAAAAAUGCAAUUAUGUCUUUGUUUUCUUUUCAUCUCAUAGUAAUUAAUAAAAUUGUUU
rnacentral:lncRNA from 12 species